rnacentral:rRNA from 1 species
CAGUAGCCGCGGUAAUACGAAGGGGGCUAGCGUUGUUCGGAUUUACUGGGCGUAAAGCGCACGUAGGCGGAUCGAUCAGUCAGGGGUGAAAUCCCAGAGCUCAACUCUGGAACUGCCUUUGAUACUGUCGAUCUGGAGUAUGGAAGAGGUGAGUGGAAUUCCGAGUGUAGAGGCGAAAUUCGUAGAUAUUCGGAGGAACACCAGUGGCGAAGGCGGCUCACUGGUCCAUUACUGACGCUGAGGUGCGAAAGCGUGGGGAGCAAACAGGAUUAGAUACCCCCGUAGUCCCUGUCUCUUAUAA